CAAACAUCAACAGUGUCACCACCCUCAAACGGAUUACCACUUUCCCUAAUCAGAAGCCAUGGAUGAACAGUGAGAUGGAUGAAUAUGUGAAAAGUAAACUGACAGAGAGGAAUCUUGAGGAGUUAAUUCCUACAUUUGAAGCCGAGAAGAUUGAUCAAGAAACUCUGCUCCUUCUAGAUGACAUCACUCUAACCUCUCUUAUCCCUGUUAUUGGACUUCAUCUAAAAUUCCAGAAGUACUUCAAGAAGGUGCUUGACGUAACUUGAAACAAGCGUUG